CUUGGUCAUUUAGAGGAAGUAAAAGUCGUAACAAGGUUUCCGUAGGUGAACCUGCGGAAGGAUCAUUAACGAGUUAGGGUCUUCUAGGCCCGACCUCCCAACCCUAUGUUUAUUGAACCUCUGUUGCUUCGGCGGACCCGUCUCAUGACCGCCGGAGGACCGUCGAAAGGCGUCCUCUGGCCAGCGUCCGCCGAUGGCCAACCACUUAAAACUCUGAAUGAAUCGUGUCAUAUGUCUAAGUCUAUGAUUAAAUUAAAGCAAAACUUUCAACAACGGAUCUCUUGGUUCUGGCAUCGAUGAAGAACGCAGCGAAAUGCGAUAAGUAAUGCGAAUUGCAGAAUUCCAGUGAGUCAUCGAAUCUUUGAACGCACAUUGCGCCCUUUGGUAUUCCGAAGGGCAUGCCUGUUCGAGCGUCAUUAUCACCCCUCAAGCCCCGUGCUUGGUGUUGGACGGCCGGUCGAGCGAUCGACCCCUCCUAAAGACAAUGACGGCGGCCUGCGGUUCCCCCGGUACACUGAGCUUUUAACCGAGCACGUAUCGGACCAGGGCACCCGGGACCCGGUCCUCUCCUUUAACUAGGAAACUUCUAAGGUUGACCUCGGAUCAGGUAGGAAUACGCGCUGAACUUAAGCAUAUCAAUAAGCGGAGGA
rnacentral:rRNA from 1 species